rnacentral:piRNA from 1 species
GACUGCAAAUGUUUAGUGGGCCCC